rnacentral:rRNA from 1 species
UACGUAGGGCGCAAGCGUUGUCCGGAAUUAUUGGGCGUAAAGAGCUCGUAGGCGGUCUGUCACGUCGGAUGUGAAAGCCCGGGGCUUAACCCCGGGUCUGCAUUCGAUACGGGCAGACUAGAGUGUGGUAGGGGAGAUCGGAAUUCCUGGUGUAGCGGUGAAAUGCGCAGAUAUCAGGAGGAACACCGGUGGCGAAGACGGAUCUCUGGGCCAUUACUGACGCUGAGGAGCGAAAGCGUGGGGAGCGAACAGG